CGGCGGAUGGGUGAGUAUCACGUGGGCAACCUGCCUGUAAGAUUGGGAUAACUCGCGGAAACGUGAGCUAAUACCGAAUGAAGUCUUUCACCGCCUGGUGAAAGGAUGAAAGAUGGCUUUUAGCUAUCACUUACAGAUGGGCCCGCGGCGCAUUAGCUAGUUGGUGGGGUAAAGGCCUACCAAGGCGACGAUGCGUAGCCGACCUGAGAGGGUGAUCGGCCACACUGGGACUGAGACACGGCCCAGACUCCUACGGGAGGCAGCAGUAGGGAAUCUUCCGCAAUGGACGAAAGUCUGACGGAGCAACGCCGCGUGAGUGAUGAAGGUCUUCGGAUCGUAAAACUCUGUUGUCAGGGAAGAACAAGUUGUGUUCUAACAGGACAUGACCUUGACGGUACCUGACCAGAAAGCCCCGGCUAACUACGUGCCAGCAGCCGCGGUAAUACGUAGGGGGCAAGCGUUGUCCGGAAUUAUUGGGCGUAAA
rnacentral:rRNA from 1 species